rnacentral:rRNA from 1 species
GGAGGGUGCGAGCGUUGUUCGGAAUCAUUGGGCGUAAAGCGCGUGUAGGCGGCUUGGCAAGUCGGGUGUGAAAUCCCGGGGCCCAACCCCGGAACUGCACACGAAACUGCCUCGCUAGAGUCCCGGAGAGGAAGGCGGAAUUCCCGGUGUAGAGGUGAAAUUCGUAGAUAUCGGGAGGAACACCAGCGGCGAAGGCGGCCUUCUGGACGGUGACUGACGCUGAGACGCGAAAGCGUGGGGAGCAAACAGGAUUAGAUACCCUGGGUAGUCCACGCCGUAAACGUUGAGUGCUAGGUGUCGCGGGUAUUGACCCCCCUGCGGUGCCGUCGUUAACGCAUUUAGCACUCCGCCUGGGGAGUACGGUCGCAAGGCUA